UGACCGCUGGCGGUAGGCCUAACACAUGCACGUCGACCGGCAGCACAGUAAGAGCUUGCUCUUACGGGUGGCGAGUGGCGGACGGGUGAGGGGUACAUCGGAAUCUACUUUUUCGUGGGGGAUAACGUAGGGAAACUUACGCUAAUACCGCAUACGACCUACGGGUGAAAGCAGGGGAUCUUCGGACCUUGCGCGAUUGAAUGAGCCGAUGUCGGAUUAGCUAGUUGGCGGGGUAAAGGCCCACCAAGGCGACGAUCCGUAGCUGGUCUGAGAGGAUGGUCAGCCACACUGGAACUGAGACACGGUCCAGACUCCUACGGGAGGCAGCAGUGGGGAAUAUUGGACAAUGGGCGCAAGCCUGAUCCAGCCAUACCGCGUGGGUGAAGAAGGCCUUCGGGUUGUAAAGCCCUUUUGUUGGGAAAGAAAAGCAGCAGGUUAAUACCCCGCUGUUCUGACGGUACCCAAAGAAUAAGCACCGGCUAACUUCGUG
rnacentral:rRNA from 1 species